rnacentral:rRNA from 1 species
GAGUUUGAUCUUGGCUCAGAACGAACGCUGGCGGCAUGCCUAACACAUGCAAGUCGAACGAAGGCUUCGGCCUUAGUGGCGCACGGGUGCGUAACGCGUGGGAACCUGCCCCUCGGUUCGGAAUAACAGUUAGAAAUGACUGCUAAUACCGGAUGAUGACUUCGGUCCAAAGAUUUAUCGCCGAGGGAUGGGCCCGCGUAGGAUUAGCUUGUUGGUGGGGUAAUGGCCUACCAAGGCGACGAUCCUUAGCUGGUCUGAGAGGAUGAUCAGCCACACUGGGACUGAGACACGGCCCAGACUCCUACGGGAGGCAGCAGCGGGGAAUUGUUCGCAAUGGGCGCAAGCCUGACGACGCAACGCCGCGUGGAGGAUGAAGGUCUUCGGAUUGUAAACUCCUGUUGCCCGGGACGAAAAGCUUCGACCUAACACGUCGAAGUCUGACGGUACCGGGUGAGGAAGCCCCGGCUAACUCUGUGCCAGCCGCCGCGGUAAU